rnacentral:tRNA from 1 species
GCGUCGAUAGUUUAAGGGUAGAAUUCGAGCUUCCCAUGCUCGAGGACCGAGUUCGAGUCUCGGUCGACGCA